rnacentral:rRNA from 1 species
CGUGCAGGUGGUUUGGUAAGUUGGGUAUGAAGUCUCCUGGCUUAACUGGGAGAGGUUGCUCAAAACUACCAGACUAGAGGACGAUAGAGGAAGGUGGAAUUCCCGGUGUAGUAGUGAAAUGCGUAGAUAUCGGGAGGAACACCAGUGGCGAAGGCGGCCUUCUGGGUCGUUCCUGACACUAAGACGCGAAAGCAUGGGUAGCAAACG